rnacentral:rRNA from 1 species
AAAAAAGGUAAGCUACUAAGAGCGAAUGGUGGAUGCCUUGACUGGUAAAGGCGAUGAAGGACGUACUAGACUGCGAUAAGCUACGGGGAGCUGUCAAGAAGCUUUGAUCCGUAGAUUUCCGAAUGGGGCAACCCAAUGUAUAGAGAUAUACAUUACCUAUAUAGGAGCGAACGAGGGGAAUUGAAACAUCUUAGUACCCUCAGGAAAAGAAAUCAAUAGAGAUUGCGUCAGUAGCGGCGAGCGAAAGCGCAAGAGGGCAAACCCAGUGCUUGCACUGGGGGUUGUAGGACUGCAAUGUGCAAGAGGUAAGUUUAGCAGAACAUUCUGGAAAGUAUAACCAUAGAGGGUGAUAGUCCCGUAUGCGAAAAACAAACCUUAGUUAGCAGUAUCCUGAGUAGGGCGGGACACGAGGAAUCCUGUCUGAAUCCGGGUCGACCACGAUCCAACCCUAAAUACUAAUACCAGAUCGAUAGUGCACAAGUACCGUGAGGGAAAGGUGAAAAGAACUGAGGUGAUCAGAGUGAAAUAGAACCUGAAACCAUUUGCUUACAAUCAUUCAGAGCCUUAUGUAGCAAUACAGGGUGAUGGACUGCCUUUUGCAUAAUGAGCCUGCGAGUUGUGGUGUCUGGCAAGGUUAAGCAAACGCGAAGCCGUAGCGAAAGCGAGUCUGAAUAGGGCGCUUAGUCAGAUGCUGCAGACCCGAAACGAAGUGAUCUAUCCAUGAGCAAGUUGAAGCUAGUGUAAGAACUAGUGGAGGACUGAACCCAUAGGCGUUGAAAAGCCCCGGGAUGACUUGUGGAUAGGGGUGAAAGGCCAAUCAAACUUCGUGAUAGCUGGUUCUCUCCGAAAUAUAUUUAGGUAUAGCGUUGUGUCGUAAUAUAAGGGGGUAGAGCACUGAAUGGGCUAGGGCAUACACCAAUGUACCAAACCCUAUCAAACUCCGAAUACCUUAUAUGUAAUCACAGCAGUCAGGCGGCGAGUGAUAAAAUCCGUCGUCAAGAGGGAAACAACCCAGACUACCAGCUAAGGUCCCUAAAUCUUACUUAAGUGGAAAACGAUGUGAAGUUACUUAAACAACCAGGAGGUUGGCUUAGAAGCAGCCAUCCUUUAAAGAAAGCGUAAUAGCUCACUGGUCUAGUGAUUUUGCGCGGAAAAUAUAACGGGGCUAAAGU